rnacentral:rRNA from 1 species
GACGAACGCUGGCGGCGUGCCUAAUACAUGCAAGUCGAGCGGAACUGGGGGAGCUUGCUCCUUCCAGUUUAGCGGCGGACGGGUGAGUAACACGUGGGCAACCUGCCCUGCAGAUCGAGAUAACUCCGGGAAACCGGUGCUAAUACCGAAUAGUUUGGCGCCUCUCCUGAGGCGCCACGGAAAGACGGUUUCGGCUGUCACUGCAGGAUGGGCCCGCGGCGCAUUAGCUAGUUGGUGGGGUAACGGCCCACCAAGGCGACGAUGCGUAGCCGACCCGAGAGGGUGACCGGCCACACUGGGACUGAGACGCGGCCCAGACUCCUACGGGAGGCAGCAGUAGGGAAUCUUCCGCAAUGGGCGCAAGUCUGACGGAGCAACGCCGCGUGAGUGACGAAGGUUUUCGGAUCGUAAAACUCUGUUGUGAGGGAAGAACACGUACCAACUAACUAUUGGUACCUUGACGGUACCUCACCAGAAAGCCACGGCUAACUACGUGCCAGCCGCCGCGGUAA